CAGCAGCCGCGGUAAUACAGAGGGUGCGAGCGUUAAUCGGAUUUACUGGGCGUAAAGCGUGCGUAGGUGGUGGUUUAAGUCCGUUGUGAAAGCCCUGGGCUCAACCUGGGAAUUGCAGUGGAUACUGGGUCACUAGAGUGUGGUAGAGGAUAGUGGAAUUUCCGGUGUAGCAGUGAAAUGCGUAGAGAUCGGAAGGAACAUCUGUGGCGAAGGCGACUAUCUGGGCCAACACUGACACUGAGGCACGAAAGCGUGGGGAGCAAACAGGAUUAGAUACCCCUGUAGUCCCUGUCUCUUAUAC
rnacentral:rRNA from 1 species